UACAGAGGUCCCAAGCGUUGUUCGGAUUCACUGGGCGUAAAGGGUGCGUAGGUGGUCGGGUAAGUCCGAUGUGAAAUCUCCGAGCUCAACUCGGAAACUGCACCGGAUACUAUUCGGCUGGAGGGUUGGAGGGGGGACUGGAAUGCUUGGUGUAGCAGUGAAAUGCGUAGAUAUCAAGCGGAACACCAGUGGCGAAGGCGAGUCCCUGGACAACUCCUGACACUGAGGCACGAAAGCUAGGGGAGCAAACAGG
rnacentral:rRNA from 1 species